rnacentral:ncRNA from 1 species
AUAUUUUGCUAGGGGCGCAUAUGCUGAGAGGUGCUUGCACCGACCCUUAAUACUUGAACUGGAUAAUACCAGCGUAAGGAAGCGAUAGACGAAUCUC